rnacentral:ncRNA from 1 species
CAAAUUGCGUUGAUUGGGAAAAGUAGUAAAGAAGCCCAGAUUCCAGAGAACUUAUCAUUUAGCUGAGAGAUAAGAUCAAAGCACUUUAUGAAAAUCCCCCAUGAGCUGCCAGCUGAAGGGCAAACGCCUGUGUAAGUGUGGCCGGAGGACGACCGUUACAGCGUCAGGCAUUGAACGUCAGUUGUGAAACUUUCGGUGAUGCCGGUAAAGUGGCCGUAUUAUUACGGCAAUAAGAGUGGUACCGCAGAGCUAUUCGGCUUUGUCUCUUAC